rnacentral:tRNA from 1 species
UGAACUUUAAGUUAAAAAAACUAGAAAUCUUCCAAAUUUCCAUUAAGUAGUCUUAAGUUCAA